rnacentral:rRNA from 1 species
GGGCCCGCACAAGCGGUGGAGCAUGUGGUUUAAUUCGAUGCAACGCGAAGAACCUUACCAGGGUUUGACAUGAUACGAAUUUCUUUGAAACGAGAGAGUGCCUUCGGGAGCGCAGUGACAGGUGGUGCAUGGCUGUCGUCAGCUCGUGUCGUGAGAUGUUGGGUUAAGUCCCGCAACGAGCGCAACCCACGUCGUUAGUUGCCAGCAUUUAGUUGGGCACUCUAGCGAGACCGCCGGUGAUAAACCGGAGGAAGGUGUGGAUGACGUCAAGUCAUCAUGCCCCUUACAUCCUGGGCUACACACGUACUACAAUGCUACGGACAAAGGGCAGCAAACUCGCGAGAGCUAGCAAAUCCCAUAAACCGUGGCUCAGUUCAGAUCGUAGGCUGCAACUCGCCUACGUGUAGGAGGAAUC